GACGAACGCUGGCGGCGUGCUUAACACAUGCAAGUCGAACGGAAAGGCCCUGCUUUUGUGGGGUGCUCGAGUGGCGAACGGGUGAGUAACACGUGAGUAACCUGCCCUUGACUUUGGGAUAACUUCAGGAAACUGGGGCUAAUACCGGAUAGGAGCUCCUGCUGCAUGGUGGGGGUUGGAAAGUUUCGGCGGUUGGGGAUGGACUCGCGGCUUAUCAGCUUGUUGGUGUGGUAGUGGCUUACCAAGGCUUUGACGGGUAGCCGGCCUGAGAGGGUGACCGGCGACAUUGGGACUGAGAUACGGACCAGAAGCCUACGGGAGGCAGCAGUGGGGAAUAUUGCACAAUGGGCGGAAGCCUGAGGCAGAAACGCCGCGUGCGGGAUGACGGCCUUCGGGUUGUAAACCGCUUUCGCAGGUGACGAAGCGUGAGUGACGGUAAUGGGUAAAGAAGCACCGGCUAACUACGUG
rnacentral:rRNA from 1 species